rnacentral:rRNA from 1 species
AUCGAACGCUGGCGGCAGGCCUAACACAUGCCAGUCGAACGGUAACAGGAAGAAUCUUGCUUCUUUGCUGACGAGUGGCGGACGGGUGAGUAAUGUCUGGGAAACUGCCUGAUGGAGGGGGAUAACUACUGGAAACGGUAGCUAAUACCGCAUAACGUCGCAAGACCAAAGAGGGGGACCUUCGGGCCUCUUGCCAUCGGAUGUGCCCAGAUGGGAUUAGCUAGUAGGUGGGGUAACGGCUCACCUAGGCGACGAUCCCUAGCUGGUCUGAGAGGAUGACCAGCCACACUGGAACUGAGACACGGUCCAGACUCCUACGGGAGGCAGCAGUGGGGAAUAUUGCACAAUGGGCGCAAGCCUGAUGCAGCCAUGCCGCGUGUAUGAAGAAGGCCUUCGGGUUGUAAAGUACUUUCAGCGGGGAGGAAGGGAGUAAAGUUAAUACCUUUGCUCAUUGACGUUACCCGCAGAAGAAGCACCGGCUAACUCCGUG